UUCCGCUGAGUUAAUUUCAUUCGUAUUAAUCUUUCGCCUUUUACUAAAGAUUACCGUGGAAUUGACUCACAAAAUGCGGCUUUGACCAAAUUUCUGGAUCCCUCCUUGUGAGGGGAAU
rfam:Phytophthora infestans T30-4 supercont1.26 genomic scaffold, whole genome shotgun sequence.